rnacentral:lncRNA from 1 species
UAUCUGUUGAGACGUUUACGCCCGCUGCUGCUAUGGCAACUCCCGGCAAAGGGAAUAGGGAAGCAGGCGGAGGUGGCGCAGACAUGCAUCGGGGUUCGGGAGGUCAGGAGAAGCAGGUGAAGGGGGUGAAGGAGGUGAUCACGGCCCUCUGUAACCUCCUCUCCGCCCUCCAGCUCCACUCUGUACCCAGCGCCGAGCUCUUCAGACGGGCCAAGUUCAACAAGGACGACGCGGUGCCGGAGAUGUGGAGGUUUCUCUACAGCCUUUUGAAACCAGCUCUGGUGUUGGAGUGUGAGUGCCAGCAUGGAGAAUUGGGGGACCAGGUCAGGUUUGUGAGGAGCGCGCUGUGGCAUUGUGGAUAUGCUGCCCCGUGGGUAGUGGAUGGCAGUUGCCAUGGCAAUGAUGUCGGCAGCCGGGAGCUGCUUCUGGCCUUUGGUUGGUUGCUGUCCUCCGGGAGUCUCCUGGAGUUCCUGCUGAGUGAGCGGACGCUGCAGCUGCAGCCACUGGCCAUACCUGCACAGUCAUCCCCCUGUUUCCCCGUUGGACCUGUUGCCGCUGUAGAAGGGGACGGUGACCUGAAGAGGCUGCAGUGGGAGUUCGGGAAGCUGCGGUUCCAGUGGAGGAAGCUGCUCGCUGCUCAGGAGGAGAGGUCCAAACUCAUCCACAGGGUCCUUUCUGAAGUCCAGGACCACCCCGUGACUCCCAGCUCAGCUGCAGGUUUCACCUCUGACCCCUCAGAGCUCACCAAGGUAGGAGGUGUUGGGGGGUGUCUUUUUAUGUGGGAGUGGCUUGAGGAGCAGAAGUGUACACGACGCUGAUCUCUCCAUCUUCACGCCCUGACCCGGCAUUCAUCUCAGCGCUGGGCGGGGUGAUGGGGGGAUGAGCGAGUGACUCCCUCUGGAGGCCUCGCUCUCUCUUAUUUUUCUCCGUAUGAGCAUGUGGAUUAAAGAACCGAAUCUGUCCCAGAAUCCGAGGACAGCGUGAACCAAGUGCAGAAGCGGGGAGGUUAUUUCUGUCUGUUUUGUUAAAUGGUUUUCUGUGUGUGUGUGUGUGUGUGUGUGUGUGUGUGUGUGUGUGUGUGUGUGUGUGUGGAGAGAGAUAAAUAUGCCCCCUGUGUGCGACUCUAGUGGUUGAUCUGCAGGAGAACCUUGUUCUCAGCACUGACAGCCCCCUGUGGAGACGCCCUCACCCCACCCCAAACACUCCACUGCAGGGCUGCAAGACGAGGCUGUGUGUGUGUGUGUGUGUGUGUGUGUGUGUGUGUGUGUGUGUGUGUGUGUGUGUGUGUGUGUGUGUGUGUGUGUGUGAAUAAAAGGCCGUCAUAUUCAUGAUCA